rnacentral:rRNA from 1 species
CAGUAGCCGCGGUAAUACGGAGGGUGCAAGCGUUAAUCGGAAUUACUGGGCGUAAAGCGCACGCAGGCGGUCUGACAAGUCAGAUGUGAAAUCCCCGGGCUUAACCUGGGAACUGCAUUUGAAACUGUCAGGCUGGAGUCUUGUAGAGGGGGGUAGAAUUCCAGGUGUAGCGGUGAAAUGCGUAGAGAUCUGGAGGAAUACCGGUGGCGAAGGCGGCCCCCUGGACAAAGACUGACGCUCAGAUGCGAAAGCGUGGGGAGCAAACAGGAUUAGAUACCCCUGUAGUCCCUGUCUCUUAUAC